AUUGAACGCUGGCGGCAUGCUUUACACAUGCAAGUCGAACGGUAACAGGGAGCUUGCUCCGCUGACGAGUGGCGAACGGGUGAGUAAUAUAUCGGAACGUACCCAAGAGUGGGGGAUAACGUAGCGAAAGUUACGCUAAUACCGCAUACGAUCCAAGGAUGAAAGCAGGGGACCUUCGGGCCUUGUGCUCCUGGAGCGGCCGAUAUCUGAUUAGCUAGUUGGUGAGGUAAAGGCUCACCAAGGCGACGAUCAGUAGCUGGUCUGAGAGGACGACCAGCCACACUGGAACUGAGACACGGUCCAGACUCCUACGGGAGGCAGCAGUGGGGAAUUUUGGACAAUGGGCGCAAGCCUGAUCCAGCAAUGCCGCGUGAGUGAAGAAGGCCUUCGGGUUGUAAAGCUCUUUUGUCAGGGAAGAAACGGCUGUGGCUAAUAUCCACGGCUAAUGACGGUACCUGAAGAAUAAGCACCGGCUAACUACGUGCCAGCAGCCGCGGUAAUACGUAGGGUGCAAGCGUUAAUCGGAAUUACUGGGCGUAAAGCGUGCGCAGGCGGUUUUGUAAGUCUGUCGUGAAAUCCCCGGGCUCAACCUGGGAAUUGCGAUGGAGACUGCAAGGCUAGAAUCUGGCAGAGGGGGGUAGAAUUCCACGUGUAGCAGUGAAAUGCGUAGAGAUGUGGAGGAACACCGAUGGCGAAGGCAGCCCCCUGGGUCAAGAUUGACGCUCAUGCACGAAAGCGUGGGGAGCAAACAGGAUUAGAUACCCUGGUAGUCCACGCCCUAAACGAUGUCUACUAGUUGUCGGGUUUUAAUUAACUUGGUAACGCAGCUAACGCGUGAAGUAGACCGCCUGGGGAGUACGGUCGCAAGAUUAAAACUCAAAGGAAUUGACGGGGACCCGCACAAGCGGUGGAUGAUGUGGAUUAAUUCGAUGCAACGCGAAAAACCUUACCUACCCUUGACAUGUCAGGAAGACCGGAGAGAUCUGGUUGUGCCCGAAAGGGAACCUGAACACAGGUGCUGCAUGGCUGUCGUCAGCUCGUGUCGCGAGAUGUUGGGUUAAGUCCCGCAACGAGCGCAACCCUUGUCAUUAGUUGCUACGCAAGAGCACUCUAAUGAGACUGCCGGUGACAAACCGGAGGAAGGUGGGGAUGACGUCAAGUCCUCAUGGCCCUUAUGGGUAGGGCUUCACACGUCAUACAAUGGUACAUACAGAGGGCCGCCAACCCGCGAGGGGGAGCUAAUCCCAGAAAGUGUAUCGUAGUCCGGAUCGUAGUCUGCAACUCGACUACGUGAAGUUGGAAUCGCUAGUAAUCGCGGAUCAGCAUGCCGCGGUGAAUACGUUCCCGGGUCU
rnacentral:rRNA from 1 species